UUUAAAUGGACAAGCAAGUGGAGAAAUACAGGGGGGUGAGGGUUUUUUUUUGGGGGCGGAAAAUUUUCUGCACCCUAAGUCCCAGUCCAAAAUAAAGAAAAAAAUUAUUACGACAAGUUACAAGAACGAGCUAAACUAAGUACAACCGAUUCUACCGCCAUUCACUUUGUCGUCAUUCGCAAGGGGCUACAACCUGAAACACGACAAAAAAAAAAAAAAAAAAAAAAACAAAAACCACACCGCCGCCAUACUCGAGCUAACUUAUUUACUUUGUGAUUAUUAUAGUUUACUUAUAUUAAUUUAUAAUAUGACAAUUUAUGAAAUUUGUAAUAAUUUAGCGAUAAAAAAGGGGAAUUCGUAAAAUUUCCCAGUUAUGUUUGAUACUUCAUUGUUGUCGGUUUCUGAGGCCCGCUAAGGUUCAAAACUGAACAAGUUGCUGAAAUUUUAUCAAGGAUUACACUAAAUGAUAACAUUUAAAAAAAAAAGGGUAAUUUUUAAAAAGUUCAGAUUUCUAAACUCAUCAUAACAACAAAAUAGUCCAGAUUUUAGUUCAAGCGACCUACUCAAACAAAACUACCAUCAUCGACCAAGUAAAAUCAGAAUUAGUGAAGGGUUUAACCUUUUACCUUUCUCGUCCUUUGCUCCGGCGAGUCCGUCUUUGACGGAAACUUUUUCGGCCUCUCCGGCUCCGUCGAUCCCCAUCUUUAUUGCAACAUAAACCAACAUCAAGAAACAGAAAUCAGGAAAAGAACAUAAAAACAAAAAAACUCAGAUCGUAACUCCACAGAUCGGGGAUUGCAAACAACAUGCAAGCCCAAAUCGAAGUCAAAACGAAAAGAAUUAAUUAGAAGGAGGGGUUUUCAUGUUUUUACCUUUUCUUCCUCCUGUUUUUUCUUGCUUUGUUCGUUGUGGGAGGAGAGUGGAGGCGGAG
rnacentral:lncRNA from 1 species